rnacentral:tRNA from 1 species
GCCUGGGUGGCUCAAAUGGUUGAGUGUCUGACUUCGACUCAGGUCAUGAUCUCGUGGUCCGUGAGUUCGAGCCCCGCGUCGGGCU